GUGCCCAUGCAGAAGCACAUAUGCUAAAACUUGGAUCACUAACAGAAGAUUAACAGGGCCCUGAGCAAGGAUGAAAUGCUAAUUCAUGGAGCAUUCGUAUUCUUAU
ensembl:snRNA U6 U6 spliceosomal RNA